rnacentral:lncRNA from 12 species
CCUUCUGUCAUCUUUUCUUUUAAUGCAAAAUCAAAUGUAUUUUAUAAAAUUCAAAACUUUGUCACUGUAGGAAACUCAAACACUGCCUGGAAGGAAACCAGCCCUCCCUCAGCGUUACCCGCAGCCGAGCCUAGGUGGCCGCGGCUGGGCAGAGCGGGGCAGGGCCUGCGGGGCGCAGGGGCUGGUGUCAUCUUAGGCCUCCGACUCCCAACCGCAUCAGUCGACUGGGCAGUAUCUUUGGCUUUCGGCCUCUUCCUUAUCUUCCCCGGAGCCCAGACAGGAUGUUUGAUGGAGAGAAAAGUCCUUUCAGAGAGGACGGGCACGUUCUGUAAAUAAACCAAAGACCAUCUGAGGCCUUGCGAUUACCUCGCUUCGUGGGACAGUAAAUGUGUGAAGAAUUUUGUCUUUUCCCUACAAAUUAAAAACACAGAGUAACCCGACUAUAGAGCCACUGGCCCAGGGACGCGCCCCGCUCACUGGCUGACUGUCCCCCACGUGCCGGCCUUCUCCCUCCUGCACGUCGGGGUUUUACACACGUGCUGCACGUGUCCUUGUACUUCUGAGCACUUCCCAGCAUCCAGGAGGAUGUAACCACACGGCCUGGUGCUUUCUGGAGGUCCACGGCCCGUGGAUGGCCUGGGCUGCUGGUGGGCAUGAAUGUGCUGCUCCUCGACGGAUCCCAGAGUGACACAGACGCUGUGGCCCAUUCUGCAGCCUCAGGCAGGUGGUUGAACAAGCCUUUAGGUCCUUUCUAGCCCUAAGUUUUCUAGAUUCCAUAAAUUAAGGUGGACUGGAAGGCGCCUGAAGGGAGGCAGGCCUCGUCAGAGGCUCUUCGGCCGUGGACACGCACCUCGGACCACAGGGAGGCCAAGUGACCGACAGCCCCGCUGGGCUGGACCCGGACAGUGACCAGCACAGCAGCUGGAGACUCAGGAGACAAGGACUCUACGUGGUCGGGCCCAGUACUUUAUGCACUCAGGCCUUGGGAGCCACAGGCGGUUCCGUCAUUCAGGAGCUGUUCCCUUGAGUGUCACUCUCCUCUUGGGAGAGAUCAGGAUGAGAAAAUCAGGUUUGCAAGGAUUAGGUCGUAUCCACAAUAGGACCACUCUAGGGACACUGAGUCAUGGAAGAGAAGGACAAGUGGGUGAAAGUGCCUAUUUAAGACCAGGAUGGAAAGCCCGCAAGCCUCUGAACCAGCGUGGGAGCUCUGCUAGCCCCCAAAUGCAAAUGUGGAGGACUCACAGCAUAGAGACAGCAGCCCUUGAGGACUCCAAUGUUAGCUAUAAACCGGAUUGCUGAUGGGUGUGAUAGUCUUUCUUUAUUCCCUGAAUCUCUCAUGUUUGGAAAUGUUUAUGUACAUGUACACAUCGAUACCCGUUUAUACAUAUAUAUAUGCAAAUCAAUAUGUCUUUAAUAAACAUGUUCAGCUUAUAACUUGGAGUGGCA